rnacentral:misc_RNA from 1 species
GCCAGCAGCUAGGCAUUUUGCCCGGAUAGGCACAUUAGAGCUAAAAUUGCAGAUUGAGAAGAAGCUUGGUCAUCUAAAAGCCCAGAAGUACUUUGAUCUCCUCUCAAAGUUUCUGAGUAUUAAGAUUAGCAAAUCUGAUUUUGAUAGACUUUGCAUUGGUACAAUAGGGAGGUGGUUAUGAAGUCACUUCAUAACCACCUCCUCAGAUCAAUUAUAAAAAAUGCACAUUUCUCCAGGACUCCCCCGC